UACAAAGUGAGACAUGACCUUUGACGUGUA
rnacentral:piRNA from 1 species